GUGACGUCAGUCUGUCAGGGGCGUGUCUGCCGUCUCUUCCUGUCUGUGAACAGGUGAGACACACCUGACGAGCUGAGCUGAGCGGACACACGGAUCCUGACGGCCGCGAGCUUUUUAACCAUUUCACGUUUUUUACUGAACAGAAAGACACUUCCGGUUCUCGUUGUGACGUGUCAGGAGGUCGGUCACCUGUCACCUGUCUUUACUCUGUCUGCACCUGGAAAUGUCUGCUUCCUCUGCCUCCCUCCUCCCCCUCGCCCCCCUCCCCCUCCUCCUCUUCCUCCUCCUGCGGCCCGCCGGAGCGGCACAGGUUCUGGACUGCAGCGGCCCGUUCCGGUCCAGUCAGGAGAACUUCGUGCUGGACGCGGAGGACGCGGUGAAGGAGGGAGCGGCUCUGCUGGACACCGCGCAUGUGCGCUCCGCGGAGGCAUGUGAGCGCGCGUGCUGCGAGGACCCGCGCUGUAACCUGGCGCUGCUGGGGCCGCGCGCACUCGGAGCGGCAGCGGCGGAGAACCGCACCUGCGACCUGAUCGACUGCGUCCACCGGAACCGCUUCGUGUGCAGGUUCGUGAACAAGGACGGGUACCGGAGCUACAUCCGGGAGUCCGUGUUCCGGACACACCUGCAGGGGCCGCAGGGAGCACUCGAGCAGGCUCCGCCCAUCGCCAUUGCCAGUCCAGAUGUCAUUGUUCAGCCUGGACACACGGUGACGCUCAACGGCAGCGAGAGCCUGGCGCUGGGCGACGCCCACAUCAAAGACUACAGGUGGACUCUGCAGAGCGGAGACAACGGCGUCAAGAUGGAGAACACGGAGCUACCUGACCAGGUGAGGCUGUCCAACCUGCAGCCCGGACCCUACCAGUUCCAGCUGACCGUCACCGACUCCAAAGACCAAUCACACGACACCAACGUCCGCAUCCUCGUCCUCAGCCCGGAGCAGUCCACCUUGUACUGUGUGUACUUCAGUGUACUGUGGAGCUCCGGUGAAGGUCGGUCCGUGUCGUGCUGCGUUUCCUCGAUGGCGUUACAACGCGGCGACGAGCAGCUGUGAGCACUUCCUGUUCGGAGGCUGUAAACCAAACAACAACAACUUCCUGUCUGAGGACGAGUGUGUGUCCGCCUGCAGCGGGGUCACUGUUACAUCAGUGAGGUCGGUCGCUCUGCCCUCUGCUGGUCAGUCCCACAAUGCACCUCUUUACAUCAGCUGACCGUGAUCACCUGUUCAG